rnacentral:rRNA from 1 species
ACCUUAGUCAGCAAGUGAUGKUUUGGCCCAGCUUGACGAUGAAGGGUGCAGCAAGAUGUGGUAUGCAAUAUGACUUGCAGAUUUCCGAGAAUAGGUGUGAAUUUAAUGCCUCCUGCAUCCUUGGGACACUCCCAAUGGUGUGCUUAAWUUGAAACA